UGGGGAAUCUUGCACAAUGGGGGAAACCCUGAUGCAGCGACGCCGCGUGAGCGAUGAAGGUUUUCGAAUCGUAAAGCUCUGUCCUAUGGGAAGAUAAUGACGGUACCAUAGGAGGAAGCCCCGGCUAACUACGUGCCAGCAGCCGCGGUAAUACGUAGGGGGCGAGCGUUGUCCGGAAUUACUGGGCGUAAAGGGUUCGCAGGCGGCAUGACAAGUCCGAUGUAAAAGGCGAAAGCUCAACUUUCGUAAGCAUCGGAAACUGUCAAGCUUGAGUGAAGGAGAGGCAAGUGGAAUUCCUAGUGUAGCGGUGGAAUGCGUAGAUAUUAGGAGGAAUACCGGUGGCGAAGGCGACUUGCUGGACGUCAACUGACGCUGAGGAACGAAAGCGUGGGUAGCAAACAGG
rnacentral:rRNA from 1 species